rnacentral:rRNA from 1 species
GACGAACGCUGGCGGCGUGCCUAAUACAUGCAAGUAGAACGCUGAAGAGAGGAGCUUGCUCUUCUUGGAUGAGUUGCGAACGGGUGAGUAACGCGUAGGUAACCUGCCUUGUAGCGGGGGAUAACUAUUGGAAACGAUAGCUAAUACCGCAUAACAAUGGAUGACACGUGUCAUUUAUUUGAAAGGGGCAAUUGCUCCACUACAAGAUGGACCUGCGUUGUAUUAGCUAGUAGGUGAGGUAAUGGCUCACCUAGGCGACGAUACAUAGCCGACCUGAGAGGGUGAUCGGCCACACUGGGACUGAGACACGGCCCAGACUCCUACGGGAGGCAGCAGUAGGGAAUCUUCGGCAAUGGGGGCAACCCUGACCGAGCAACGCCGCGUGAGUGAAGAAGGUUUUCGGAUCGUAAAGCUCUGUUGUAAGUCAAGAACGGGUGUGAGAGUGGAAAGUUCACACUGUGACGGUAGCUUACCAGAAAGGGACGGCUAACUACGUG